GGAAAAUUCCGCUAUAUGCGUCGCAUAGUACUUUAGUGCGUUGCAAAAGCCCAAUGUGCGUCGGAUGGGCCAUGAGGUCCGAUGCAGAUCUGCGGCCCACCUAUCCUAACCGCGCCCCUUAACAUCUCUAACCUAAAUCUCUCACUCUCACCGCGCCGCUUCUCACUCUCACUCUCACUCUCACUCUCAAAUUCUCCUCUCUCACUCUCACUUUAUUCUCUCCUGCUCAAUGUUCGUUCCUUCCAAAUUCUCUCUGCUACGGGGUCAUGGGGUCUUAAUACAGAAAUUGUGAAGCAUCAAAGUAUAAGAGGGAAGAAGACUGAAGACCCAACCACCAUAUUGCUUCAAAUUCUCUCUUAUCUCUUCUUCUUUUCCUCCAGUAUAAAGGAUAUCAUAUCGCUGACAAUAUUAAAGCUCCUUUUUCCAUUUGUAUUUCUGGGCGAAGAUGAACGGCGACUGUAGUUGGUUGAAGAUUGAAGAACAUUGAGAUUAUUAAAUUCAGAUUCAGAUUGAAGAACGCAAGUAUUAGAUUCAGAUUUGAGGUUUUUUUUAAAAAAAAAAAAUCUCGUAAGUUGUAUUGGAUGAGCUUUUAAUUUUAGAUUGUAUUAGCCUUCGGUUUUUUUAAUGUUUUUGGAUCUAUGUAAUUCAAGUUGUAAUUGUAAAUUUUUUUGUGUUAGAGCA